AUACAUUCUGCGCUUCCCCCAGCUGAGCUGUAUCUGCAGUCGAACGGUGGGGGAAAAAACCCCCAAAAGAAACAGCAACUUUAUGGAGACGUGCUCCUCCCGCAAACCUGCCAGCCUCAUCUGUCAGCCAUUAGUUAAUCAGGGCUGGUGACUGGAAAAACUGGAGAGAGAACGGGCGAGGCCCCUGGGACUGGAGGACAGCUUCAAUCUCCGAGAGCGCAACGAGGGCAAGGACUCUGGGACCUGAAGAUCCACAGCUGGCUCUACAGAAAUGGUAGCUGGAAAACCCCAAGUGAACCCCACCCACUGCAUAACUCACAACAGGUAAGCCCAGCUGACAGAUUCUAUCUGACAAACAUCUAGGCUGUACCUUCGUCUGCGCAGAACCUCACAGAUAUUCCAACAGAUUGAGAAAAGAACGAGGACUAUGUUGACCAAAAUUUAAAAAUGAAGUAUUUUAAAUGCACCACAGUAAGUUCUACCAAGUUACAAUGGCAACAAAACAAUGAGUUGUGAAAGUUAUUAUUGUGAAAAAAAAAACUAAGCUAAUGAGUUAGCUAGCUUCAGUAAGAGUGAGAUGUUUCACAUGAAAUUAGAGGAAGUACAGAGAGAUUUUUAUUGGCUUUGUUUCAUUCAAUCUGCAGAGACAUGCCUGAAAUUCAUUUAGUCUGCAAGAGAGUGAGCGAGAGCAAGACAUCGAUACAUGACAGAACAGCUAAACAGAGAAUAGCAGAGUAACCCCGUCCUCCCUUUUUGAGUUUUUAACCUAUGCAGAAUCAGGAAAUGUUGGCAGCAUUUUGGAAAUCUCAAGAGUUAAACAAGCCUCUACAUUACUAAGAUAAUACAUAAGGAGACUGCUCUUUAAGAACUCGGCUAACAGCAGAGUUUUUUUUUAAAAUGUAAAAUCCACAAUCAGUUUAUGUUUGUUUUAAGAUUAAAAGUAAACUCGGCUUUCUUAUUAUACUAUUACACAAACCUGCCUGCAAGACAGGCUAAGGUCAAAUUUCAGGCUCCAAGCUCUCAAUACAAGAGGAUGUUAAUACCAAGCAUAUGGUAACUGUACACAGGCUCUUAAAGGGAACUCAGAGCAAGAGUAAACUUGCAAGUUCAGACUGCAGGAGGGGAAGUCUGGAGGUUUGCCCAUGGCUCAAUGUUGCCAAAAUUGUUGCAUACAGUAUCUUGUAUGUGGAAUGUUACAAGUCAACUAAGACACACUAGUUUGCGUACAAACGAGAUAGCUGGGAACAGAAUGUACUUUAACGUAGCGUCCGAUCUUUUUAAGUGUGUUCUCAGAUGCAGAGAAUACAAAUUCUGAACAAAAGAAUUUGUUCAGAACUCUUCCUGCUGUUUGUGGUUUUGUUUUUACAGGAAGGUUUUGAAGGACCGGAGUCCAAACGACACAUGCUGUCACUGGUGGCGGUGGGAGCAGAGGAAUUUCAAGAGCCGUGGAUCAGUUCUGUUCUGCAGAAAAACAACCCGGAGUAACAUCAUGCUAUCUUUCACAUAGUUGUGAUGUGCAAAGUCGUUCUAAUUGUGAAUGCAGAUGAUGACAUGAAAUAAUGACUUCCUGUUUCUUCUGUUUAGCAGACUGUUAACUGUAAGUACAGCAAACUUCAGACAGGUUGAUGCUAAACAGCCUAUUCUGGACUCGGUGCCUGUAAGUACAAAUCUGCCAGAUACAAAUAUACAGAACAACACAUUUUUUCCUACUUUCUUUUCUGAAAAGAGGUAAGUAAAAGUAAAAGUAAAAGCCAGGUUUAGGAAAUCGUAUAAAAAGGUAUAGUUCGAAAGUAAUGCAGAUUUGCAUUAGUUUCCUAUAGUUUAAAAUGAUUUCAAUGAGAUGCCCAAGAAAUUUGCAUGACUAAUAUUUUCUCUGGUUGUACAUGUAUGCCUUUUACACUUUACUGUACAAAACACAAAGCAGCAUAAAGAUAUUUAUGAUGUACAAUAAGCAUUUUAAAACCGCAAUUUGUUUCAAAUUGAAAAAUGAACAAAUAUGACUUAUUCAUAUGUUAUGCCAAAACAUUAUUUAAAAAAUG